AUGGAGGCAGCUCUCGUCAGUGUGGCAACAGGGGUACUGAAACCCGUCCUGGGGAAGCUGACCGCCCUGCUUGGCGAUGAGUACAAGCGUUUCACGACAGUUCGCAAGGAGAUCAAGUCUCUCACUCAUGAGCUAGCUGCCAUGGAGGCUUUUCUCCUCAAGAUGUCCGAGGAUGAGGAUCCGGAUGCGCAGGAUAAGGCAUGGAUGAAUGAGGUCCGGGAGCUGUCCUACGACAUGGAGGAUGCCAUCGACGAUUUCAUGCAAAAUGUCGAUGACAAAGAUGCUAAGCCAGACGGCUUCAUGGAUAAGAUCAAGAGCUCACUGGGGAAGAUGAAGGCUAGACGUCGCAUUGGCAGCGAGAUCCACGAUUUGAAGAAGCAAAUCAUUGAGGUGGGUGAGAGGAAUGAAAGGUACAAGAGCCGCACGGCCUUCUCCAACACCAAAAAUGCAACCGUUGACCCUAGAGCUCUUUUUAUGUUUGAGCAUGCCUCAAAGCUUGUUGGAAUUGAUGAACCCAAGGCUGAGAUAAUCAAUCUGUUGACCGAAGGGGAUGGAUGUGCGUUAACGCAAGAGCAACUGAAAAUGGUCUCCAUCGUUGGAUCUGGAGGAAUGGGCAAGACAACCCUUGCAAGCCAAGUGUAUCAACAGCUCAAAGCAAAAUUUGAGUGUAAAGCUUUCGUAUCAGUGUCACGGAAUCCAGACAUGAUGAAUAUUCUAAGAACCAUUCUUAGUGAAGUUAGCUGCCAAAAUUAUGCUCACACUGAAGCAGGGAGCAUACAACAGCUGAUAAGCAAGAUCAACGAUUACAGAGCAGAGAAAAGGUACUUCAUAGUGAUUGACGAUAUAUGGGACAGUAAAACAUGGGAUGUUAUCAAGUAUGCAUUCCCCAUGAACAGAUGUGGCAGCGUGAUAAUAACCACCACACGAAUCAUUGAUGUUGCACAUUUGUGCCGUUCAUUGAUCGGUGGCCAUGUUUACAAUAUAAGACCUCUUAAUAUGGCACACUCUAGACAACUAUUUCACAGAAGAUUAUUCAGCUCUGAUGAAGAUUGUCCUUCAUACCUUGAAAAAGCUUCGAACGAAAUCCUGAAAAAAUGUGAUGGCUUGCCUUUGGCAAUCAUUGCCAUAUCUGGUCUGUUGGCUAACAUGGGAAGAACAGAGCAUUUAUGGAGCCAGGUGAAAGAUUCUAUUGGUCAUGCACUCGAAAGGAACCCUAGCGUUGAUGGAAUGAUAAAGAUAUCGUCACUUAGUUACUUUGAUCUGCCCCCUCACCUAAAAACUUGUCUCCUGUACCUCAGUAUUUUCCCAGAAGAUUCUGUUGUUAUGAGGAGAGACCUUGUAUGGAGAUGGAUUGCCGAAGGAUUUGUUCACAAAGAAGGCAAAUAUUCGGCAUAUGAAUUAGGAAAAAGGUAUUUUAAUGAGCUCGUCAAUAGGAGUCUGAUCCAACCUGUAAAGUUUAGAGGACCUUUGAGUCUGGACAAAUAUGAUAAGGUGUUUGCUUGUCGUGUUCAUGACACAAUUCUUGAUUUCAUAGUAUCCAAGUCCAUUGAAGAGAACUUUGUUACUUUCAUUGGUUCCCCCAGUGUAACUAUUGGGACACAAAGCAGAGUUCGCCGGCUGUCCAUCCAAGUUGGAGGGAAAGGAAAUUCUUUGGUGCCGACGAGCCUGAUAUUGUCCCAUGCCCGGUCACUUAAUGUUUUUGGGAAAACAGCGGAAAUCCCUUGA
rnacentral:rRNA from 1 species